AGGUAUAAGUAACGAUAAGGCUGGUGAGAGACCAGCCCGCCGAUAGUCUAAGGUUUCCUGAUCAACGUUAAUCGGAUCAGGGUUAGUCGGGUCCUAAGUCGAAGCCGAAGGGCGUAGACGAUGGCCAAUUGGUUAAUAUUCCAAUACUAGUAUACAGUGCUAUGGGGUGACCCAGUAGUGAAAGAUCCGCGUACUGACGGAAGUACGUUAAAGACCGUAGAUAUAGGUUGCGUAGGUAAAUCCGCGCGAUUUGUCGAAAGUCGAUAGUACACUGAGUCUUCGGACAAGGUGAUAGUGAUCCUAAUCAGACUGGCAAGAAAAACCUCUAUGCUUCAGCUGUAUACUACCCGUACCGUAAACCGACACAGGUAGACAAGUAGAGUAUACUAAGGCGCUAGGGUGUGCCGUGGCUAAGGAACUAGGCAAAUUAACCCCGUAACUUCGGGAAAAGGGGUGCCCCCUUCGGGGGGCCGCAGAGAAAUGGGAGCGGCGACUGUUUUAUCAAAAACACAUGGCUUUGCAAAAUCGAAAGAUGAAGUAUAAGGCCUGACACCUGCCCGGUGCUGGAAGGUUAAGAGGAGAGGUUAAUCGCAAGAUGAAGCUUUGAAUCGAAGCCCCAGUAAACGGCGGCCGUAACAAUAACGGUCCUAAGGUAGCGAAAUUCCUUGUCGGGUAAGUUCCGACCUGCACGAAUGGUGUAACGAUCGCUCCACUGUCUCAGCCACGAGCCCUGUGAAAUUGGAGUAACGGUGAAGAUACCGUUUACCCGCAACGGGACGGAAAGACCCCGUGCACCUUUACUAUAGCUUUACAUUGAACUUGGGUAAAUAAUGUGUAGGAUAGCUGGGAGACUUUGAAGUGGUGUCGCUAGGCAUCAUGGAGUCAACGUUGAAAUACCAGCCUUUGUUUACUUGAGUUCUAACUCCUCAUGGGAGGACAUUGUAUGGUGGGUAGUUUGACUGGGGUGGUCGCCUCCAAAAGAGUAUCGGAGGCUUUCAAAGGUACACUCAACACGCUUGGUAACCGUGUGUAGAGCGCAUUAGCAUAAGUGUGCUUGACUGUGAGGCCGACAAGCCGAGCAGGUACGAAAGUAGGAUAAAGUGAUCCGGUGGUUCCGCAUGGAAGGGCCAUCGCUCAUAGGAUAAAAGGUACGCCGGGAUAACAGGCUGAUCACUCCCAAGAGCUCACAUCGACGGAGUGGUUUGGCACCUCGAUGUCGGCUCGUCACAUCCUGGGGCUGGAGAAGGUCCCAAGGGUUCGGCUGUUCCC
rnacentral:rRNA from 1 species